rnacentral:rRNA from 1 species
AACGAACGCUGGCGGCAGGCCUAACACAUGCAAGUCGAACGCCCCGCAAGGGGAGUGGCAGACGGGUGAGUAACGCGUGGGAACCUUCCCUGUGGUACGGAACAACUGACCGAAAGGUUAGCUAAUACCGUAUACGUCCGAGAGGAGAAAGAUUUAUCGCCAUAGGAUGGGCCCGCGUCGGAUUAGCUAGUUGGUGAGGUAAUGGCUCACCAAGGCGACGAUCCGUAGCUGGUCUGAGAGGAUGAUCAGCCACACUGGGACUGAGACACGGCCCAGACUCCUACGGGAGGCAGCAGUGGGGAAUAUUGGACAAUGGGCGCAAGCCUGAUCCAGCCAUGCCGCGUGAGUGAUGAAGGUCUUCGGAUUGUAAAACUCUUUCGCCGGGGAAGAUAAUGACGGUACCCGGAGAAGAAGCUCCGGCUAACUUCGUGCCAGCCGCCGCAGUAAUAC